UGGUUAGGGUUGACAGGAUUUUAUGGCAUUCAAUUAAGCCUAAUGGAUUCAUUUGUGGCUGAAAAAUUGACAGAAUGGCAGCUUGACACCCUCAUCGACACAUUUAACGCGCAACAGCCUUGAUGGUACUGCCACGUCUGCUACCCCCGUCCAUCUACCGAUGUGGAGGAAAAGUUCACAGGCCCACCACUGAGGAGUCCCUCGGGUCAUUCAUUGACACGCGCCUGCUGAUUUUGACAUGGAUCAUCAGAGUGAACUGGACAGAGAGUCAUCUGGAUGCUGAGGCACAGGAAGUCUACCAACCUGAUCCUCUGCUGAGACGGUGGGAACCACCAGAACCACAUCACCUCUCUUCAGCUCC